UACAGAGGUCCCAAGCGUUGUUCGGAUUCACUGGGCGUAAAGGGUGCGUAGGUGGUGAGGUAAGUCGGAUGUGAAAUCUCCGAGCUCAACUCGGAAAUGGCAUUGGAAACUACCUUGCUCGAGGGUUGGAGGGGGGACUGGAAUGCUUGGUGUAGCAGUGAAAUGCGUAGAUAUCAAGCGGAAUACCAGUGGCGAAGGCGAGUCCCUGGACAACUCCUGACACUGAGGCACGAAAGCUAGGGGAGCAAACAGG
rnacentral:rRNA from 1 species